CGUAAUAGCUCACUGGUCAAGUGAUUCCGCGCCGACAAUGUAGCGGGGCUCAAGCACACCACCGAAGCUGUGGCAUUGACACUUUGCCCGGCCAUGUCCUUCGGGGCAUGGUCCAAGCGUGUUGAUGGGUAGGGGAGCGUCGUGUGGCGAGUGAAGCGGCGGAGUGAUCCAGCCGUGGACGCCACACGAGUGAGAAUGCAGGCAUGAGUAGCGAAUGACGGGUGAGAAACCCGUCCGCCGAAAGACCAAGGGUUCCAGGGUCAAGCUAAUCUGCCCUGGGUAAGUCGGGACCUAAGGCGAGGCCGACAGGCGUAGUCGAUGGACAUCCGGUUGAUAUUCCGGAACCGGCGAAGAACCGCCCAUACCGAACCUCGUGAUGCUAAGCGCCUGAAACCUGCUGACGUCUUCGGACUGACGCAGGCGGAGCGCGCGAACCGAGCGGGUAUUAGGUAAGCAAUGGAGAGACGCAGAAGGGUAGCCUCCGCGUGGCGAUGGUUGUCCACGUCUAAGGGUGUAGGGCGAGGUGUAGGCAAAUCCGCACCUCACAUAGCCUGAGACCUGACAGUGACCGCGAAUGCGGGAAGCAGGGUGAUCCCAUGCUGCCAAGAAAAUCUUCUAGCGAGGUUCGAGCCGCCCGUACCCCAAACCGACUCAGGUGGUUAGGUAGAGAAUACCAAGGCGAUCGAGUGAAUCGUGGUUAAGGAAUUCGGCAAAAUACCCCCGUAACUUCGGGAGAAGGGGGGCCCUGAUCGUGACGGCACUUGCUGCCCGAGCGUGAUCGGCCGCAGAGACCAGGGAGAAGCGACUGUUUACUAAAAACACAGGUCCGUGCGAAGUCGCAAGACGAUGUAUACGGACUGACGCCUGCCCGGUGCUGGAACGUUAAGGGGACCGGUUAGCCUCACGGCGAAGCUGAGAACUUAAGCGCCAGUAAACGGCGGUGGUAACUAUAACCAUCCUAAGGUAGCGAAAUUCCUUGUCGGGUAAGUUCCGACCUGCACGAAUGGCGUAACGAUUUCUCCACUGUCUCAACCACGAACUCGGCGAAAUUGCACUACGAGUAAAGAUGCUCGUUACGCGCAGAAGGACGGAAAGACCCCGGGACCUUUACUAUAGCUUGAUAUUGGUCUUCGGUGCGGCUUGUGUAGGAUAGGUGGGAGACUGUGAAGUCGGCACGCCAGUGUCGGUGGAGUCAACGUUGAAAUACCACUCUGGUCGUUCUGGAUAUCUAACCUCGGUCCGUGAUCCGGAUCAGGGACAGUGCCUGGUGGGUAGUUUAACUGGGGCGGUUGCCUCCUAAAAGGUAACGGAGGCGCUCAAAGGUUCCCUCAGCCUGGUUGGCAAUCAGGUGUCGAGUGUAAGUGCACAAGGGAGCUUGACUGUGAGACAGACAUGUCGAGCAGGGAC
rnacentral:rRNA from 1 species